UGGCUAUGCCCGAUCCAUUGGGACCAUCCCCGAGCUUCUACGACCUUCGGAAAUGGUGAAACCACCAAAUCUAUAAAAAAAAGUACAAGAUAUUUUUGAAUAACUUUUCUUCUGAAAGUCCUAGAGACUUGUGCAUUUCAUGAUUAAUAAAGGGUGGCCUGCCACACAACCACACCGAAUUUCAGCACGUUUCGAGCAAGCAGCGCAGAGUUAUUCCAAUUAAUCCCUAAUAUGGGUUAGGGUUGCAAUUAGGGUUAGGGUUGCAGCCAGGGUUAGGGUUAGGGUUGGGGAGGAAAUCCCAUUGAGAAUUGAAGAUUUUCUUGAAUAACUUUUGUUCUGAAGGUCAUAGAGACUUGGAAGUUGGUUCCAUCUGAACUAAUGUGGGGAUGCCCGAUCCAUUGGUACCAUCCCCGAGCUUCUGUGACCUUCGGAAGGGGUCAAACCAC
rnacentral:misc_RNA from 1 species